rnacentral:ribozyme from 1 species
AAAACAAAACACACGUACCUGUAAAUACACAAGACGUAUUUGUUGCCAUUUUUAAUUCCGUUUCUUCUCUCACUUUUUUUUUUCUUCUUACUUUCUG